GCGCAGCAGUCGCGCAACCUCUGCAAUACGCGAAAGCGUGACGGAGCUAUCCCGAGUGCCGUCCGCUGAGGAUGGCUUUUCCCUAGUGUAGAUAGCUGGGGGAAUAAGGAGAGGGCAAGUCUGGUGUCAGCCGCCGCGGUAAUACCAGCUCUCCGAGUGGUGGGGAUGUUUAUUGGGCCUGAAGCAUCCGUAGCUGGCUGAGCAAGUUCUCCGUUAAAUCCAGCGAUUUAAUCGUUGGACUGCGGAGGAUACUGUUCGGCUAGUGUGCGGGAGAGGCCGACGGUAUUCUCGGGGUAGGGGUGAAAUCCUAUAAUCCCGGGAAGACCACCAGUGGCGAAGGCUGUCAGCUAGAACGCGCCCGACGGUGAGGGAUGAAAGCUGGGGGAGCGAACCGGAUUAGAUACCCGCGUAGUCC
rnacentral:rRNA from 1 species